UUUAGCUUUCAUUUUCAAAUGCCCGCUAAUAUUUUGAAUCUCAAAUUUAAUUUAUUUAUUUUUUAUUUGCGGGAUAAAUCACCUGUUUCUCCGGCGAUUUGAAACACGCAUCAAGCCAUCGAUGGCUUCCGCCACAACCGCAAUAUGGCCAACCCUCCUUCAAUCUCUGCGGCCCCGAAAGUAAAUCUCAGUUGGAGGUUGCCAGAAGGCGGGCCCUUGUGUAGUUGUUGUACUCUCCUAAGGUGAAGAGCGUCGUCAUGGUGAUCAAACACCUGUAAUACCAGAGCGGAUGGACACCACAACCUUGCUAGAAAUGCAAAUCUAUAUGGCUAGCCAGGUCGGUUUCAUUGUUUGCUUCUGCGUGGAUAGUGAGGCCCCCUGUUCUUGGUGUACGUGGGAUUAUUGGAGAACUUGAGAAUUCGAUUUUACCCAGCUGCAAAAUGGGAUUGUUGGAGGAUUUGGUUUUACCUACUAUAGGCAUGAACCUAAAGGAGAUUGAAAGUGGGUUUGUUGAAGAAUUUGAUUUUCCCUAUUGCCCGAUGAAGUGGGAUUGUUAGAGAAUUUUCCCUGCUGCCUGAUGCCUGCCAGCACAUCAUAGAGCAACAGUGGUGUUUAAGCUGCAGCCAGAGCAGCGGCGUUUAGAAGAGCGCGGUGAUCUUCGAACAACGAUAGCGGCCUUGAGGAUGUAAUUUUUUCUCCUUUGGUACGAGUCAUAUUUGUUUUACUCUUUCAUUAAAUGUACACACAAAUAUAAGAUUAAUUGCAUCUUUAGUUUAAAAAAUGUUAUUUAAAUAUAUAUAUAUAUAUUUGGGAAUUUAUUUUUACUCGUAGUUUGUGAGUAUUUUGUGAUGUUUGAACUGCUGUAAACUUAUCCCUUAAAUUAUAGUCGAUUUUUAUUAGGUUU